UACGAAGGGGGCUAGCGUUGUUCGGAAUUACUGGGCGUAAAGGGAGCGUAGGCGGACAUUUAAGUCAGAGGUGAAAUCCCGGAGCUUAACUUCGGAACUGCCUUUGAUACUGGGUGUCUUGAGUGUGAGAGAGGUAUGUGGAACUCCGAGUGUAGAGGUGAAAUUCGUAGAUAUUCGCAAAGAACACCCAGUGGCGAAGGCGGCCCACUGGUCCGGUAC
rnacentral:rRNA from 1 species